GGAUUGUGGCUCAGCGGUAGAGCACUCACCUCGCAUGUGCAAGGUUCUGGGUUCCAUCCUUAGCACCA
rnacentral:tRNA from 1 species